rnacentral:lncRNA from 10 species
UUGAUUUUUCCUGUGAAAAAUUGUUUUAAGCCUUUUAUCUCUACUAAGGUGAAUUUUAGUACAUUGCAUUUUUCAAGGAUGCUAUCCAAUUAUUUAAUUUUUCAAAUAUAUUUGUAUAGAGUCAAACAAAAUAGUCUGUAAGAAUCUUUUAAAAUUUACUUUGUUUCAAGGUUAUUUCCCCCAUAACAUUUUUAAAUUCAUAUAUCUGUGCUUUCUCCUUUUUUUUCUGAGUUAGAUUAGGUGGUAGUUUAUCUAGUUUAUUAAUUUUUCCUCAAGAACAAGCAUUUUGAUUGAUUUAUCAAUUUUGUUAUAUUUUUGCUUGCUGUUUUAUUAAUUUCUACUUCUAUAUUUUAAAAAAUUUUUCUUCUGCUUCCCCCAUCCCCUACCUACUUUUCUGAGUUGGGAAUUUAAUUCAUUUAUUUUUAUUUAUCUAAGUAUCAUAAGUAUGUAGAGCUAUGUAUUUUCCUAUAGUCACUGUUUUAAUUGUAUCUCAUAAAUGUCUUAGGAAGAGUUCAUGAAUAUUUUCUGAGUUUCCAUCUGUAUCAAACUGUUUCCCUAUAGGCUUGGUACUUUAAAAACAGUCUGCCUACAUAUAACACUCUGGGCUCAUAUUUUCCUUUUUUGAGUUUCUUAAAACUGUUCUUGCACAGUUUUCUUGCUUUGUAUGCUGUUUUAUGAUCUUAUUUCCUUUGUAAGUGAUUUGGCCUUUUUUGCUUGGAUGCCCAGAAGAUUGCUUGUAUAUAUUUAAUGUCUAAUAGGCCUAUUAUACUGUGUCUUAGAUGUAUGUCUAUAUAUUACAAUUGACCAUUCUGGGUUAGUCUUCUUAGGUACACAAAUAUAUCCAAGUUUUCUUUUAUUUAUACAAAGUUUUAUUGGAUUGUGGUUUAAUAUGUGAUUAAAUAUGUGAUUUCUCUCAUUUCAUUGUUUUUGUUUUUCUUGCCAGAAACCCAAAUGAUAAUGCCCAGUCUUCUUUCUCUCUGAUGGUUUUCACCUUAUUUAUUUUGUUUUCAUUUUCUUGGAAUUUUUCAUAUAUUUUUAAACUUCUGCUUUGAGAGAAAUCAAUUUUCUCUUGAGUACUUUGAAAUUAUUCUUCCUACAUAAGAUGUUUUUGCCUUUUUCUUUAAUUUCCCUCCUGGGGACUAUCUUUUUUUCGUAUAUUACUUUAUUUAAUUCUGCUUUUCUGAUUUAACAUUUUUUCUUUUUGCAAAAUAUUUGUUUAAAAUAUUUAAUUCAAGAUGGGGUGUUAUGUUACAGAUUGUUUUCAGAGCCUCCAGUUAAAUUGGGGUUCCAGCACCUGUGUGGAUAGCUAAGGGGAAAUGAAGGGGAGCUGGAUAUGGUUGUUUACAAGGUGUCUUUCACGGGACACAUCUUUUACCUGGCAGACAGCCUAGUGUCUAGUUGUCUAACCUGUGACCAGGAAGAUUUCUCACACAGGAAACUUGUUUAUACUGGCAGAUGCCCUUUUGGCUCUUGUCUGACCUGUGUUCAGUUUAUGCCUGCCUGACCAUUGCUCUGGUUCUGGGAGCUCAACUUUGUGCUUCCCCGUCCCAUGUCAGGGAAAGAUAGGCCUGGCGUAGCCCCUGAUUCUUCAGAUGGAAGGUGGGAAUUCAAUACUCCAGCACAAAAGGAAACAAUUAAAAGAUUGUACUUACAAAUCUUGGGCAAGGAAGGUGGGAUGGCAGUCCUCUGUCCUAGGGUCAUGUGAGGCAGAAAUGAAGGAGUCAGGCAGAGAGACAGGGCAUGUGGCAAAUAGUUGUAUGUAUAAGGGAAUACAGUGUGGGUUAUUUUAAGUUCUUAGGCAAAUAUCUGACAGAUUCACUUAAAAGGAAACAGCGGAAGAGUGGGUAGUCCUAUUGAGAGACAGGACUAGCUGGAUUUCCUAAGUCGACUAAGAAUUCCUAAGCCCAGCUGGGGAAGGUUACCACACCCACCUUUAAACGCGGGGCUUGUAACUCAGCUCACACCGGACCCAUCAGGUAGUAAAUAGUGCUCACUAAAAUACCAAUUAGGGUAAAAGCAGGAGGUAAAGAAAUAGUCAAAUCAUCUACUGCCUGAGAGCACCGGGGAGAGACAAUGAUCGGAAAAUAAAUCCAGGCCUUUGUGCCAGCAGGGGCAACCCCCUCUGGGUCCCCUCCCAUUGUAUGUGAGCUCUGUUUUCAUUCUAUUAAAUCUUGCAACUGCACAUUCUUCUGGUCCGUGUUUCUGCCGGCUCAAACUGAGCUUUCGCUCUCCAUCCACCAUGGCUGAACGCCACAGUCGCAGACCUGCCGUUGACUUUCAUCCCUCUGGAUUUGGCAGGGUGUCCACUGAGCUUCUGAUUCAGCGAGGUGCUCAUUGCUGCUCCCAAUCAGGCUAGAGGCUCGCCAUUGUUCCUGCACCGGGAAGUGCCCGGGUUCAUCCUAAUUAGGCUGAACACUAGUCUCUGGGUUCCAUGGUUCUCUUCCGUGACCCACAGCUUCUAAUAGAGCUAUAACACUUACCGCAUGGCCCAAGGUUCCAUUCCUUGGAAUCCCUGAGGCCAAGAACCCCACGUCAGAGAACAAAAGGCUUGCUGCCAUCUUGGGAGCAGCCGGCCCCAUCUUGGGAGUGGCCCACCACCAUCUUGGGAGCUCUAAGAACAAAGACCUGCUGGUAACACUAUCUCUGGCCACCUAUCUCUGGCCUAUCUAUCUCUGGUUCCUAUCUCUGGCCAUGGCUUGAGCCAUUUGGGUGCAGUGAACAGGAAACUGUAAAGAGUGACAGCCCUGCUUCUACAAAAUGGAUGCCAAGUUGUUCCUGCGCGCUCACUCUCUCUCCUGCCACCUUGUGAUGAAGAUGCCUGCUUCCUCUUCUGUCAUGAUUGUAAGUUUCCUGAGGCCUCCCCAGCCAUGUGCAAAUAUGACUAAAACUGAGGCUUAGUUAUGCAAGUUGUCUCCAGUCACACAACUGAAGACUUUUUUAAAUAGCCAGAAGUGGUGAAUUUGACAGUAAAGGACAAGAAGAGAAAGUUCUCAGACCUGAACAGGAAAAAAUGGUGCCUGGACACUACAAACAAUCUUCAUGUGCACUGAUCGGACAAUAAGUGAAUGGGUAAAUUUCUUUUCUCUAUCCCAUAUUCUGAAUCUUCAUCAUUAAAUCACUGUAACUUUUGUAAUAUAAUAUUUAGUAAAAUUGUGUAUGCAGACAAGGACCCAACACACCCUAGAAAAGGCCCUGCAUUAGGGAACUGGGCUAUGGAAAGCAUUAUGUAUCUGUUUCUGCACUGUGUGGCUAUAUAAACUCUGACAAGAUUUUGUGACAUUGGCUCAAUACAUAAGGAACUUAAAUCUAAUGGCAGAUGAGUACAUGCUCUUUCUGUCAAUCCACAGACCACCUGAAAUGUUGCAUAAACUAGCGUCUCUUUUUAUUUAAUCAAUUUUAUUUUUUAGUGGUUUUAAGUUCACAGAAAAGUUCAGUGGAAAGUACAAAUAAUUCCCACAUAUUCCCUGCCCCCAUGCCACAACCUCCACAACUAUGAACAUACUUGCACCACAGUGGCACAUUUGUUACCAGUGAUGCACCUUCUCACACAUCAUCACCUAAAGUUUAUAGUUUACAUUAGAGUUCACUCUUGGUGUUGUAACAAACGGAUUUUAACAAAUGGAUCAUGACACGAUCUACUCUUGUAGUAUCACACAGAAUAAUUUAACUGGCCUGAAAAUCUCCUGUGUUCCACCAUCCUCCCUAGCCACCCAACCUAUAGCAAUAAUUUAUCUUUUUCCAGUCUCUAUUGUUUUGCCUUUUCCACAGUAUCAUAUAGUGGAAAUCAUUCAGUAUGUAGCUUUUUCAGAUCUUUCACUCUGUAAUAUGCAUUUAACGUUACCCCAUGUCUUUUCAUGACUUGAUGGUUUAUUCCUUUUUAGCACUAAAUAAUAUUCCAUUGUCUGAAUAUAUUAGUUCAUUUAUUCAUUUGCAUAUUGGUUACUUCCAAGUUUUGGAAAUUAUGAAUUGAGCUGCUAUAAACAUUCAUGUGCAAGUUUUGUAUGAACAUAAGUUUUCACAUCAUAUGGGUAAAUAUUAAGGAGUGUGAUUUGCUAGGUUAUACGGUAAGAGUAUGCUUAAUUGUUGUUUUUAUGUAAAGAUGGAGUCUUGCUCUGUCACCCAGGCUGGAGAGUAGUGGUACAAUCAUGGUUCACUGCAGUCUCAAACGCCUGAGUUCAAGCGAUCCUCCUCCCUCAGCCUCCCAAGUAGCUGGGACUACAGGCACACACCACCAUGCCUGGCUAAUUUUUUCAAUUUAUUUUUUGUAGAGACAGGGUAUUGCUAUAUUUCCCAGGCUCGUCUCAAAUUCCUGGUGUCAAAUGAUCCUCCCACAGUGUUGGGAUUACAGGUGUGAGGUAUAUGCUUAGUUUUUUAAGAAACUGCCAAACUGUCUCCCAAAGCAUCUAUACCAUUUUGUAUUCCCACCAGUAAUGAAUGAGAGUCUCAGCUGCUCCAUGUCCUCAACAGGAUUUGGUAUUUCUUUAAAAAAGUAAUUAACAAAAUAUCUGUAUUUGAAAAGUGUCUUAAAUAAUACUGUACAUAUGUUUGGUGACUAAUAUAUAUGUACUGAAUAAAACUAUAAUACUCUAACUGAUGGAUACACAGCAUAUAUUAUUCUUGUAUCUUUUCCUAGAAAGCCUUGGGCUACUCUAAAUCUGUAAUACGUAUUUCAACUUCUCUACUUACAUGUACUAUAUUAUAGCAAUUUCUAUUGAGUUAUAAUCCAUAUUCACUCUCCUGAUUUGCUAAAGUCACAGAGGCUUUCAUCCCUAGUUUCUAAAGUGCUAAUACUAGUUUUUUCAGGCUUGUUUUUAACUUUUAUUUUAAGUUCAGGGGUACAUAUGCAGGUUUGUUACAUAGGUUAAUUGUGUAUCAUGGGGAUCUAAUGUACAGAUUAUUUCAUCACCCAGGUAAUAGGCAUAGUAUCCAAUAGGUAGGAGUUGAUUUUUUGUAUAACGUGUAAGGAAGAGGUCCAGUUUCGAUUUUCUGUAUAUGGCUAGCCAUUUACCCUAGCAUCAUUUAUUGAAUACAGAGUCCUUUCCUCAUUGCUUGUUUUUUGUUGACUUUGUCAAAGAUCAGAUGAUGUUAGCUGUACAGCUUUAUUUUUGGGCUCUCCAUUCUGUCGUAUUGGUCUAUUAUCUGUUUUUGUACCAGUACUAUGCUGUUUUGGUUACUGUAGCCUUGUAAUAACAGUUUGAAGUUGGGUUAACAUGAUGCCUCUAGCUUUGUUCUUUUUGUUUAUGAUUGCCUUGGCUAUUCAAACUCUUUUUUGGUUCCAUAUGAAUUUUAAAAUAGUUUUUCCUAAUUCUAAUUCCUUCCCAAUUCAAGCAGUUUCCCAGCUUCCCUGUCACAUCCUUGGGUAAUUUCCCACUGCCACUCACCGCAUACUAGACAUAAUUAAAUAUUUUAAUGUGCACUCACUGUUUUUUUUAUGGAGUACAGAGUAUA